rnacentral:lncRNA from 10 species
CUGGUCUCAAGCUCCUGACCUCAAGCGAUCUGCCUGUCUCGGCCUCCCAAAGUGCUGGGAUUACAGGCGUGAACCACCGCGCCUGGCCAGAUUCAUCACUUUUCAAAACUAUGUUUCGUGUGCUAUUAAUAAAAAUCUUAAUUUAAUCCCUUAUUUAAGGCACUGGUACCACUUUGAAGAGGGAAUUGCCAAAUACACUAGGAGGAAUUCAUACCGUUUUUAUGUCCUUCUAAAUGCAAAGUGGAUCAUAACAUUAUAAGAUUUAUGAAGAAAUAUUCAUUCUGUUUUUUAAAGUUUCUUCUAAGUUCACAAGCACGAUGACCUCUUGUUUCAUAAUUUAUGGUAAUGAAUUCACGUUGUAGCUCAUUUUGUAAUACAUUCUCUUAGAAAAAUUACUUGACCUGGGGUGUUAAAAUGGAUAUGUACUGAGAUGACAAGUUUGAAAGCCUUUCAAGAGCUCUGUUCACAAGUUAUCAGAGGAAUGAAGGCGACAUUUCAGAGUCCUUUAAUUAUGUCAGAUGAUGUGAUAAGGAAAAUAAUAUCCUAACUGACAAAUCAAAAUCAUACGUUGGGAUGAAGUCAGUUACAUACACAAUAGAUUCCUUUCUCUUGAAAGCGAUGGUCUGGACACAUUUCAGUAACUUUCUUCUUUAGCCACAAACAGUGAACCACAGAGAAAGCAUGAAGUCUGCAUUUCUGCAUGGGGCAUUUUCAAAAUGCUGACUUGCUGCCAUGGAAGGUCGCCCAGCGUACUGAGCAAAGUGAAAAAAAUGCAAGUUGCACAACAAUGCGUGCAGUGUGACACCAUUCACAGGGGAAAACAGAUAUGAUAAGAUGUAUUAUGACCUGAUACAAUACUAUACUAUAUUAUGUUAUGUAGAAGGACAAUUCUGAAAAGACCCAAAGGAAACAGUUAAUAAUUGUUGCUUUUGGGAAGAAUAAAUUGGGGAUGAUGGUGUCUUUUGCAUAUUAUAUUUCAAAAGGUUUUAUGUUAGCAAUAUUAAAAAUAUUAAAAUGAACGAGUAAAGAAAAUAGAAAAGAAAAGAGAGUUGCCACAUCGUAAAGAAUAGCAGGUAAGGAGGCUCGGUUUGUCCAGCGGGAAUGGACCCCAGCAUCCCUCACUUGGUCAUUCAUCAGCGAUUAGUUGACUCCUUUGUAUGUGAACAUCCUGAUGUACUGUCUCAUCUCCUUUGAUACCAUACACCCUGACAGGGUGUCCAAUUGAUUUCAUGCAGGGCAGCAACUCAUACACAGGUUGGACAAGCUUGAUUAGCUCAGUUGGUGUGAGAGAACCAACAGCAAAAAAUAAACCCUGGAGAAGUUCAGUUUUGACCUUCUUGCUCCAUUGUCCUGCUAAUGCGGAAUAUUGAAAACAUCUAUUCUGUGAGAUUUGUAGAAUACAGUUUGAUUUAUUUUACUUUACGAUUCAAACUGUAUGCUUUCACUUUUUAAAAGGACCACAUAUCCAUGUGGAAAGAGAAACAUCUAUUUUCUAGACAUUUUAAACCUUCUCUGAGCUGUCAUUUUAUUCUUCAGAGUCUACCUUCCUUCAGCUGGAGAUCUGAUGUGCUGGUAGAGAAUCAAUGGUGGUAUAUUUGAAAAAUCAAUGCUAAUGGGUUCCAACAUCAAAUCAAAAGUUGGAGGAAGAGGACCACAGGAAGGACUGCUGACAUCCUCUCAAUGCAGGAAAAGAUUGUGAGCUCCUUGAUCCCUAAGAGAAAAUUGGUUGAAGGAAUGAAAGGACAAAAAGAUAAAAGGAAAAAGAAAUCAGUUGCUCAUGUGUGUUGAGGACUUGUUUAAGGCCAUUACCAUUUAACUAGCUAUUCACUGCUCUUCCUGAUUCAUGGACAUUCCAAUUAAAGAGCUGGAUCCUUUGAGAAAUCUUCAAUACCAAUAUCCAUGGUCAGGAACAGUGCUCAUUUAGCAGAAAGGAGGUCAACUCCACCAGAACUUAUGAAAUCUGCAGAGCAAGGAAUAACUCAGAGAAUCUUGCAGAUGAACUUGCAUUUCUUAUCAUGUGAUAAACAAAGAAACUUUAAUUUAUCCAUCGUAAAUCAGGGUCUUGGAAAUAAAGCAUGGGGAAAUGGAUGUCUAUAGGAGCCCUCUGCAGAAAUGUUGCCCCUUGACUCCAAGCUCAGAGAGGCUUGUAUUUGAAGAUGUCAGCAGCCUCCCGCUCCACAAAUGAAUCAUGAGAAGGAGGGAAUGAAGGUGGUUGAAGUAGGUGUGGGCCUUUCAUCCUCUACAGUAUGCCUAUCAUGUUCAACAGCCUCCUCCACACUCAGAGUGUCUCAUUUCCAGAAGACUCAUGACUCCUGCCAUGCUGUCCCAUCUAUGAAUAGAGAAAAGGAACAUUUACUUGGUACUCCAAAACUGUGGGGAUCACAACGCAAAGACCACCUGAAAGAGUGUCACAAAGAAAAAUACACCUGUAAAAGGCUACUAACCAGCUAUCAUCCUAUCAACAGCCGCACACUCAUUCACUCAUUUACUUGUUCAACAAAUAUUUAUGUCGAAGUUAAUCACUUACUCAACAAAUAAUUAUACUGCCAGGAUCUGGAGGUACAAGAGUAAAUAAAGUAUAGAAAUUCCUUUUUUGCUGUUUAGUUUAGUAGGAGAUACAAGUAAUAAAGCAACUUUAAAAGCACUAUAAUUAGAUUGCCUUGGAUAGAAAGUUAUAAAGUACUAUUAUAGUGCACAUCAUGGUGGGGGCAGUGGGUUGCUCCUAGUCUGUCCAAAGGAAGGUGGAAGGGUGAGCAGCAGAAGUGAUCAGGGAAAGAAGAGGUGGGGUUGGGUCUACAGAGAGUGUUCCAGGCAAGGAACAGCCGGGUGAGGCCUGAAGGUGAGAGUGAGAGAGGACAGGUGGGUUGCAACAGAGAUUGUUUGAGGACAAGUGUGUGGAAGCGGGGAAGCCUGAAUAAAGUGGUGGUAAUAGUGUACUUCGGUAGAUUCUUGGGCAAGAGCAUGACCUUACAAAUAUACUUUAGGAAAAAAAAAACAGUCUGUUUUCUAUAUUCAGCAUGCAUUGGAAGUGACAGAGACCAGAGGUAGGGAGAAGGGCAAGGGGAUUUUAGUAGUAAUGAGGACAAGGACCAGAGUGCUAUCCCUGAAAACAGAGAAUAAAGAACAGGUAGAGCAAAGACAUGGAAUCAACCCAAAUGCCCAUCAAUGACAGACUGGAUAAAGAAAAUGUGGGACAUAUUCACCAUGGAAUACUAUGCAGCCACAAAAAGGAAUGAGAUCACAUCCAUUGCAGGGACAUGGAUGGAGCUGCAAGCCAUUAUCCUCAGCAAACUAACACAGGAACAGAAAAUCAAACACCGUAUGUUCUCACUCGUAAGUGGGAGCUGAACAAUGAGAACACCUGGACACAGGGAGGGGAACAACACACACUGGGGCCUGUUGGAGGGUGGGGUAGGGGGAGAGCAUCAAGAUAAAUAGUUAAUGCACACGGGACUUAAUACCUAGGUGAUGGGUUGAUCGUGCAGCAAACCACCAU